UACGAAGGGGGCGAGCGUUGUUCGGAUUUACUGGGCGUAAAGGGCGCGCAGGCGGCGCAUUUUGUCAGGCGUGAAAGCCCCGGGCUUAACCUGGGAACUGCGUUUGAUACGGAUGGGCUAGAGUUCGGGAGAGGAGAGUGGAAUUCCCAGUGUAGAGGUGAAAUUCGUAGAUAUCGGGAGGAACACCGGUGGCGAAGGCGGCGACCUGGGUAGAUACUGACGCUGAGGUGCGAAAGCGUGGGGAGCAAACAGG
rnacentral:rRNA from 1 species